CUGCUAGUUCGCACGAGUUCAGACUCGUGGCGAAUAGCUCAGUAACACGUGGCCAAACUACCCUUCGGAACCCAAUACCCUCGGGAAACUGAGGCUAAUAUUGUAUACCAUAUCCAUCCACCUGGAAUGAGUGGUGUGCCAAACGCUCCGGCGCCGAAGGAUGUGGCUGCGGCCGAUUAGGUAGACAGUGGGGUAACGGCCCACCGUGCCCAUAAUCGGUACGGGUUGUGAGAGCGAGAGCCCGGAGACGGAAUCUGAGACAAGAUUCCGGGCCCUACGGGGCGCAGCAGGCGCGAAACCUUUACACUGCACGAGAGUGCGAUAAGGGGACUCCAAGUGCAGAGGGCAUAUCGUCCGCGCUUUUCACGACCGUAAGGUGGUCGUAGAAUAAGGGCUGGGCAAGACCGGUGCCAGCCGCCGCGGUAAUACCGGCAGCACGAGUGAUGACCGAUCUUAUUGGGCCUAAAGCGUCCGUAGCUGGCCACGCAAGUCUAUCGGGAAAUCCGCGCGCUUAACGCGUGGGGCGUCCGGUGGAAACUGCGUGGCUUGGGACCGGAAGACCAGAGGGGUACGUCCGGGGUAGGAGUGAAAUCCCGUAAUCCUGGACGGACCACCGAUGGCGAAAGCGCCUCUGGAAGACGGAUCCGACGGUGAGGGACGAAAGCUCGGGUCACGAACCGGAUUAGAUACCCGGGUAGUCCUGAGCUGUAAACGAUGUCUGCUAGGUGUGGCACACGCUACGAGUCGUGUGCUGUGCCGUAGGGAAACCGCUGAAGCAGACCGCCUGGGAAAGUACGUCCGCAAGGAUGAAACUUAAAGGAAUUGGCGGGGGAGCACUACAACCGGAGGAGCCUGCGGUUUAAUUGGAC
rnacentral:rRNA from 1 species